rnacentral:rRNA from 1 species
AUUGGAGGAAAGCAGGGGAUCGCAAGACCUUGCGCUUUUGGAGCGGCCGAUGUCUGAUUAGCUAGUUGGUGGGGUAAAGGCUUACCAAGGCUUCGAUCAGUAGCUGGUCUGAGAGGACGACCAGCCACACUGGGACUGAGACACGGCCCAGACUCCUACGGGAGGCAGCAGUGGGGAAUUUUGGACAAUGGGGGAAACCCUGAUCCAGCCAUGCCGCGUGAGUGAAGAAGGCCUUCGGGUUGUAAAGCUCUUUCAGCCGGAACGAAAAGGUCACGGCUAAUACCCGUGACAAAUGACGGUACCGGAAGAAGAAGCACCGGCUAACUACGUGCCAGCAGCCGCGGUAAUACGUAGGGUGCAAGCGUUAAUCGGAAUUACUGGGCGUAAAGCGUGCGCAGGCGGUUUUGUAAGUCAGAUGUGAAAUCCCCGGGCUUAACCUGGGAACUGCGUUUGAAACUACAAAGCUAGAAU